GAUGAACGCUAGCGGCAGGCCUAACACAUGCAAGUCGAGGGGUAGAAGCUUUCGGGCUUUGAGACCGGCGCACGGGUGCGUAACGCGUAUGCAAUCUGACUUGUACUGAGGGAUAGCCCAGAGAAAUUUUGAUUAACACCUCAUAGCAUUUUUGCCUGGCAUCAGGCGAUUAUUAAAGGUUACGGUACAAGAUGAGCAUGCGUCCCAUUAGCUAGUUGGUAUGGUAACGGCAUACCAAGGCGACGCUGGGUAGGGGUCCUGAGAGGGAGAUCCCCCAAACGGGGACAGAGACAAGGACCAGACUCCUACGGGAGGCAGCAGUGAGGAAUAUUGGUCAAUGGGCGCAAGCCUGAACCAGCCAUGCCGCGUGCAGGAUGAAGAAUCUAUGGUGUGUAAACUGGUUUUGUACGGGAAGAAACACUGCUACGUGUAGCAUCUUGACGGUACCGUAAGAAUAAGGAUCGGAUAACUCCGUGCCAGCCGCCGCCGUAAUAC
rnacentral:rRNA from 1 species